rnacentral:lncRNA from 1 species
GUCCACAGAGCCCUGACUCUGGUGCUCUACUCCCUUUUUUGUACAGGUGCCACAGGAAAAGGCAGAGAUUAAGGAGCCAGUGGAGGAGCUGGAAUGUCAACGCAUGCUUCUCUCUGCAGAGCACACUGCGAUCUGCCCCAAACAGAGGACAAACCUAACAGUGAGGCAUUGUGAGGAGGAGGACACACAACAGGAGGAGGAGGAAGAACAAGUGAAGGGGGAGGAGGAGCAGAAGGAAGAGAAGGAGGAUGAUGAUGAAGGGGUGGAGGAGGAGGACAAAGGAGUGGAGGAUGAGGAGUACUGGAACCAGGAGCAGGAGGAGGAGGAAGAGCAGCAGGAGGAGGAUGAACAUAUCACUCAGCUAUUCUCAGUGAAGGGAGAGGAGCAGGAGGUGGUUCUCUGCCCGCAAGAAGACUGUAGGUCCUGUCAGCAAGUUUCAGGGAACUGCACAGAGCCAUGGUGAGGAGCCCACUGUGGGAUCCCCACACACCGAG